CGCGGAGCAGCUCAGUGCCCCCCGCGCCCCGCUCCGGCAGCCCCACGCUCGCGCCCGCCAUGCCGGAGCAGUUCAGCGUCGCCGAGUUCCUGGCCGUCACCGCGGAGGACCUCAGCUCCCCGGCUGGGGCCGCCGCCUUCGCCGCCAAGAUGCCCCGAUCUUGGAAGGAGACCAAGCCAUCCUGCAGAGAAUAAAGAAGGCUGUGCGGGCAAUCCAUAGCUCCGGCCUUGGCCAUGUGGAGAAUGAAGAGCAGUACCGAGAGGCCGUGGAAUCCUUAGGCAACAGCCACCUGUCCCAGAACAGCCAUGAGCUGUCCACAGGCUUCCUAAACUUGGCCGUGUUCACCCGCGAGGUUGCUGCGCUCUUCAAGAACCUGAUUCAGAACUUGAACAACAUUGUCUCUUUCCCCCUGGACAGUCUGAUGAAGGGGCAGCUGAGGGACGGUCGACAGGAUUCCAAAAAGCAGCUGGAGAAGGCAUGGAAGGACUAUGAAGCCAAAAUGGCCAAGCUGGAGAAGGAGCGCGAUCGGGCCAGGGUGACAGGAGGGAUCCCUGGGGAGGUGGCCCAGGACAUGCAGAGAGAGCGGCGCAUCUUCCAGCUGCACAUGUGUGAAUAUCUGCUCAAAGCCGGGGAGAGCCAGAUGAAGCAAGGUCCUGACUUCCUUCAGAGCCUCAUCAAGUUCUUCCACGCCCAGCACAAAUGGCUGGAAGGCUGCCCAGAGCCUGUUCCCCUUCAUCGAGAAGCUGGCGGCCUCAGUACAUGCACUCCAUCAGGCCCAGGAGGACGAGCUACAGAAGCUGACCCAGCUCCGGGACUCCCUCCGAGGGACACUGCAGCUUGAGAGCAGAGAGGUCAGCCCCUGAACUAUCCCAAAAGGAAUGCCCUCCC
rnacentral:sRNA from 1 species